rnacentral:rRNA from 2 species
UACGGAGGGUGCAAGCGUUGUUCGGAAUUACUGGGCGUAAAGGGCGUGCAGGCAGGAUGGUAAGUCGGAUGUGAAAGCCCAGGGCUCAACCCUGGAAGUGCAUUCGAUACUGCUAUCCUAGAGUAUGGGAGAGGAGAGUGGAAUUCCGAGUGUAGAGGUGAAAUUCGUAGAUAUUCGGAGGAACACCCGUGGCGAAGGCGACUCUCUGGACCAAUACUGGCGCUGAGACGCGAAAGCGUGGGGAGCAAAC